GACAGAGGAGGCAAGCGUUGUUCGGAAUUACUGGGCUUAAAGCGCGCGUAGGCGGCUUCGCAAGUGUCUUGUGAAAUCCCCCGGCUCAACCGGGGAACUGCUGGGCAAACUGCGGAGCUUGAGGUCGGUAGAGGUGCCUGGAACUCUAGGUGGAGCGGUGAAAUGCGUAGAUAUCUAGAGGAACGCCUGAGGCGAAAGCGGGGCACUGGGCCGAUUCUGACGCUGUGGCGCGAAAGCGUGGGGAGCAAACAGGAUUAGAUACCCUGGUAGUCCACGCUGUAAACGAUGCAUACUAGGUUCGGGUGUCUCUGACGGCUCCCGAGCCGAAACAAAAGCGAUAAGUAUGCCGCCUGGGGAGUACGGCCGCAAGGCUAAA
rnacentral:rRNA from 1 species